CAGCCGCCACGGUAACACGUAGGUGGCAAGCGUUGUCCGGAAUUAUUGGGCGUAAAGGGCUCGCAGGCGGUUUCUUAAGUCUGAUGUGAAAGCCCCCGGCUCAACCGGGGAGGGUCAUUGGAAACUGGGAAACUUGAGUGCAGAAGAGGAGAGUGGAAUUCCACGUGUAGCGGUGAAAUGCGUAGAGAUCGGAAGGAACGUCAAUGGCGAAGGCAGCUACCUGGCUCAAUACUGACGCUGAGGCGCGAAAGCGUGGGGAUCAAACAGGAUUAGAUACCCCCGUAGUCCCUGUCUCUUAUAC
rnacentral:rRNA from 1 species